GGGUUGAUGAAGAGAACUUCCAUGAUCCAGAAGGGAGAAGAUGACCUAAAAAUCAUGCUCAAUAGGGUUAUGUUGAGGCUU